UAACGAAUAUUCCGCAAUGCGCGAAAGCGUGACGGAGCAAUGCCGCGUGCAGGAUGAAGCCCCUCGGGGUGUAAACUGCUGUCAGGGUUUAGGAAGCAAGUGACCAGACCCAAAGGAAGGGCCGGCUAACUUCGUGCCAGCAGCCGCGGUAAUACGAAGGGCCCGAGCGUUAUUCGGAAUCACUGGGCUUAAAGCGUACGUAGGCUGGCUUGCAGGCAUCUUGUGAAAUCCCUCCGCUCAACGGAGGAACUGCAGGGUGAACCGCAUGCCUUGAGACAGGUAGGGGUUGUCGGAACGAUAGGUGGAGUGGUGAAAUGCGUUGAUAUCUAUCGGAACGCCAAAGGAGAAAUCAGGCAGCUGGGCCUGUUCUGACGCUGAGGUACGAAAGCGUGGGGAGCGAACGGGAUUAGAUACCCCUGUAGUCC
rnacentral:rRNA from 1 species